UACGUAGGGUGCAAGCGUUGUCCGGAAUUAUUGGGCGUAAAGAGCUCGUAGGCGGUCUGUCGCGUCUGCUGUGAAAACUCGGGGCUUAACCCCGGGCCUGCAGUGGGUACGGGCAGACUAGAGUGCGGUAGGGGAGACUGGAAUUCCUGGUGUAGCGGUGAAAUGCGCAGAUAUCAGGAGGAACACCGGUGGCGAAGGCGGGUCUCUGGAACGGUACUGACGCUGAGACGCGAAAGCGUGGGGAGCGAACAGG
rnacentral:rRNA from 1 species